GCUGCACCAGGACGGGAGCUCCCUUGUCUGUUUUUGUUUUUUGUUUUCCAGCAGGAUUGCAUCCUGGGGCCCCUCCCCGGGGGUUUACUUCUAAUCCCUGGUGGAACAGCGCCACACCCUGGAGGGAUGACAGGGUUUUAGCAAAGAGUCAGGAGGCUCCGCAGACAGAGCAGGACUGGCAGCCCCUCCCAGGGCGGCCCCAGGCUGCGGGAGGGGCCUCUGCCGGCUUGGAUCACAGGGCCGGGUGCUUAGGGGCUCUCACGCCACCAGAGGUGUCUUAGCGCAGGUGAGUGGACCGUUUGAGAACCAUGGGGGAGGAGCCCCGGCCCCUGCUGGUGCCUUGUUCCUGCCUCGUGGCCGAGCCGAGCCUUUCAAAGGGGGCUGCUUCCUUUCACAUUUGAAAUUUGACUCUAAACCUUUGAAAGCGGAGAAAAGUCCACCCCAGAGUUGGCUGCUCUCUGGUUGUAAACAGAGCUGUGCUCUGCCUGCAGACAGCGAAGCAAAAGAGAAGGUGUGACAUUCGGGGAACCUCUGCUGGGGGCCCCCGGGAUGCCUGACCCGCAGACCCUCCUCUGGAGCAGCCAGGCCACCAUUUCCCCGAACAGCUGGCGUCACGCACUUUCUCAGGCUUCUUGCCAAAGGAUGUUUCCACCUGUCUGUCCACUUUCAGUCCCACUUGAGACAUGAGGCAAGAAGCUGGGCCGUCUGCACAGCAGGCCCAACACCCCCGCCCCAGACAUGUUAUCAAGAGUCAUCGACCUGCCCCAAGAGUAGGGGUCUCUGGGAGCUCAGCGUUUCUGCACACUUUGCAAACAGAGGCAGCAAAGGAAAGAGAAGAAAGAACUAAGAAAAAACGAGGAGCCUCGUGACAUUGGGACCACAGGAAACCAUCCACCAGUCAUGCUGGAGCCUCGGAGGGAAAAGAAGCUCAUCUGGGGCAGAAACAGGCAAUUUGAAGAAGCAGAGCUUCUCUGGAAGCUGCAGGGCAUCCCGGGGGGGGGGGGCUGCACCCUGAGGAAGGAGGGCCAGCCCUCAGCUGUCUGAUUUCCUUUCUGCACCUCCUGGCAUCCAAGCAGCUCUGCCUGCAUUCAGGGCUCCUGCGGGGCCCACCUGGACCCAGGGGCUUGCGGGACUGGCCCACGGCCAGUGCCGAUGUCCUGAACUAACACAACGGGACAGCCUUGCUGGUGUGAGCUGCCUGCUGCCAGGCGUGUGUGAACACAGCUGUGCUCGCAGGGAGCAGGUGAGGGCGACACUGUGGGGACGGGUCAGCCAUGGCAGCAGGUGAAUGGCGCUGGCACAGCUGAGGUGCCCAGGCCAGAGCCCAGUGGCUGUGCUUGGCUCAGUCUCGGCUGCGGCUGGACCGGGGCCUGGGCUGCUCCUCAGGAAGCCCCUGGAGGGUCCUAGGGAGGGGAGGGGACAGUUCACGGCUGGUGUGCAGGCUGGGCUGCGGGCAGUGGGGGUCCGGGACCCUCAGGUCAGGGAGGCAGGUCCCCGUGCUCGGUGCCGUGACCGACGUGAUUAGGGUGGGCCCACUGCAUCGUCUUAAGCUGUGAGGAACUGCGGGGGACGGAGGGCGGGCAUCUCCAGGAACCCGCUCUGCAGCGACCACAGUGACCACGGCCACGCCUGCCUCCUCCUCUGACCAGUGGCCUCCGUGGCCACGCCAGACACACAGUAAACGCGGCAUCCGGGAAGGGAUGCGGCCCACGUGCCCCGGUGCCACCUGCACACCCUACCUGCUCUGGGCUCCACCGUCCGGUUGGCCCCUUCCUCCAUGAACACAAACCGCCCCCCGCCGAAGUCGUCCUGGUAGUCGGAGAGGUAGAGCAGCGAGGUAUAGUCGAAGGAGCCGUAGGUCACCUGUGGGCAAAGUGGGAGGGCGCGUCACUGUCCCUCUGGAAAGGGCCGGACCCAGGCCUCGCAGCCUCCCAGCUGCACAGGGUCCUGUCCUGCCCCAUCUGCGAGCUCCUGCCCAGACCCUCUGCUGCUUCGCUUCGCGUCCUCUGCUCCAGCAUCAGGAGACACGGGCGCUGCUGGGUCCUCUGAGCACACCCGCAGCCGGGGGGACCUCCAGCAGCCCGCAGGGAACAGCAGGACGUCGAGCGAGGGGAAGCCGCUCAGGCUGGAGUGAUGGAGAGGGCCUCCCAAGAAGAGGAGGAACAAGUCUAGAGAAGCCGCGCCCACUCCCGAGGGGAGCAGAGCCCCGGGCGCACCUUGUCCACGUGCGCGUGCCAGUACUCGUCGUGCGCCGUCCGGGCCGCCGUGCUGUUGAUGCGGGAGAAGAAGGUGGGCUUGGUCAGGUGCAGCGAGGACGCGCUGAUGCCAAACGCCUGGGCGAUCGCCAGCUGGACCUUCUGCCGCACGUUCCUGCGAAGGGGCACUGUCACCCGGGGCAGCGCGGCCACGCGGGAGGGCUCUCUGCGGCCCCUGGGGCCACACUCCGUCACGCCCAGGCCGGGAGGGCCCACAGGAACUUCGGCCCAACGCCGGCCCUGCCCACGGAGAGAGCCAGGAAGGGGCCAGACGGAGGCUGCGCUGCACCCUCCGCACUCAGAGCCCCACCGCCGCCGCCCUCCCGCUGCUGACCCGGCCUGCCCCUCACCGGUACAACCGGAAGUCCUCUUCCGAGAAGAUAUUUUGGAUUUUAUCCCCAAAGUACCUGGGAAAAUAAGGAGGAUUAACAAAUGUGACAUGGUGUUUCCUUAUUUCCUCUUUUCGGAAGGUCCUGGGCGGGGCGCCCCUCCCCCAGUUCUCACCUGUACAGGUUCACAAAGUGCUUCCCGACAGACAGGGCCCCCGAGUGCAGGUCCAGGAUGGAGGCCUGGGAAAGACGACGGCAGAGCGGCUGAGGGCUGCCCAGCAGUGCGGGAGCUCUAAAAGCUACUGGCCUCGGGCACAGAGGGCUGUGAGGGCAGCGCCCUCUCCCAUGCCCCCCCGGACGAAGACUGGUCUCACGUGCUGAGUGUGGCCCCCAGACACAGUCCCUGCAAAGGGGUCUGCGGACUCCCCCCACCGCCGUGUCGAGGUAUGACCGACGAUGGCCAAGGGUAGGUUCGAUGCUGGACGUGCCCGGGAAACCAUCCCUGUCAGGGCGGUGGGCACAGCCGCCACCCAGACUCCCUCGCGGCCUUUGCGACCCCUCCCUCUGCUCAGCCACCACCGUGCGCUUUCUGCUGCAGCAGCUGUUAGUUUCCAGACGUCAGGCCCUGGAGUCCUGUCACUGGAUUUAGGGCCACCCCGAUGGCCCAAGACCACCUCAUCUUAGGGCCCUUAAUGACAUCUGCAAAGACUCUUUUCCCAGGUUCCAGGUUUUGGCGGGUGCAUCCUUCAGGCCACUGCUGGACCCUGUGCAUUCUCACCCGGACGACGGCAUUCCUGCCCACGUCUGGGCCCCCCCCCCACCUGGCUCCCCCGUCCCCACUGAGCGCUGGGCUGGCUCCCCCCCCCAUCCCCACGGCCCUCCCCCUCCCCUCCUGGCCACCCGCUCUGUCCCCCCUCUGCCUGCCUGGGGUCUGAUCCGAGGCAGCCCUCAAGGGGAGGGAAGGGGAGCCUCCCCCCAGCGCGUGCAGGCCCUGCCCCGCGGGCACCCUCCCUGCCCCUCCGAGGGAGAGCAACGUUAAGGGUGAAGAAGCCGGAGCAGGACGGACGCAGGACUCACCCCUCCGUCGGAUCCGCCCAGAGAAAGCCCCUUCUCGGCUAUGCUGUGGGAAGAGCACCCGGGGUCAGAAUUCAGCCCUGAGUUCAGCACCCGCCACGCGCGUCUACACACGCCCACCAGCAUGGGCAAUGCAGUUAACGGAGCGCUAAGCAUUUAGACCAAAGACUUGAAUUUCAAGUGAGUAAAAGUCCAUAUUCUGCCACCAGCUGGUUAGUGACAUAGAGGGCUUAGUUUCCUUGUUAGCCCGAGACGGUGCCACGGUGAACGGGUUCCUCUGGGCCGAGGGCCCCUCCUGUCAGCCUGCUGGCGGCAGCUCCUACCCACCAGCUCGGGGGCAGACCUCACUGAAGCUGCAGGUGUUUCUAGUGCCCUUGACAGAUGCCACCCUGGGAAACCGACCCAGGCUGGUCCAUCCCUCUCAGCGGUGACCCCCACCCAGCAAGCCCCUGCAAGGCCUAGAAACAGGAGGAACCCCCGCUGGGACUCAGCUGGCACGCGGCCAGACACUCCUCCCUCGGGGGCAGCUGCCUCGUGUCCGAACUCCAUGCAGCUCGAAGAUUGGAGCUCCCGUGCUGGCCCAACAGGAUCGGCAACAUCUUGGAAGCGCUGGGACACAGCAAGGAAGAAUCCAGUGCCAGCUGCUCACAGUAAGACUUCCUGCUCCUCCUGAGUCAGCAGAAGGGCUGGUGCCAAUGAGUGCUGGAGAGGAGACCGGAAGACGGCCUAGCGGCCACCUGCUGCUGCUGAGUGGCCCCCACUGUCUGAUGGGUGCAUCCCCCCACCUUCCCAAAGGGCCACAGCUGCUUUCCCUGGAGAGGGCCUGGGCCUCCGGAAGGUUCCGUCAGCAUCGCUAGGGCAACAGCCUUCCCUCCUGGAACUCGGAAAAGCCUCUUUGCCUUGGAAGUGCUCAAGGGGAUUCUUAGGGAUUAACUCUAAACGGAUUUCUGAAGUCAUCCUUUCAGGGGUAAAUCUCUGCUCCCCACCCCCCAGCCCCUCCUGCACCUGCUGCUCAGGACAGAAGCUCAGGGAUGAGUACCUGCGAAUCCUCCGGGCCUCGUCCCUGGUGAUGACGGCAUCGCUGACGCCCCGGCCACACUUCCUCGGGGUGCAGCCUGCGAAGAGGGCAGCCAGGAUGAGACGCCACCUCCGCAACCCCAACAACAGAGUUGCCUCUUGUGGGUGGCGCUCCCCAGGGACCUUGGAAUUUUGUGGGAUGGGGCCUUGCCUUGCUGGGAUGAGGGCCGUUUGGCCAGGAAAAUACAGGCCAGCGGGGCCGGUUUGAAUUUCA